GGAUCAGUCCGCAUGUUCACGGUGCAUUUUUUAUGGAAUAUGUUGAGCAAACCUGGAGAAGCGUCAGCUCAAGAUAUUAUUGUUGUCAUUGCUGUGGAUUUUUACCUGAUACACUGACUUUGCUCGGGACCAGCACUCCUGUUGUUGGACACAAAGACAUCAACUCAGUGACUUGAGAUAUGACUGCACUAUGCUGUUGCUGGUGACCACAGUUAAUUCUACAAGACAUGCUGUGACAACAGGAGAGAUGAGUCCUCCGUCACAGAUGGUGUGGUCAGUGAAGAUGGUCGCCUGCAGGUUCAAGCUCAUUGCAUCUCCAACCCACAUCCACUGCCACUGUACUUAAGGGAAGUUAAAGACUUUCUUCUGCACUUACAUUUGGAUCACCUCGAUCCAUGACAGUCAUUCAGGCAGUAAUGCCUGGACUGGAAACAAGCAUCCUUAAAAUAAUACAACAUUCCAGCUCAUGUGUUGGAAUGGAAAACAAAUGUGUUGUUUAAAUUAGAGACUGCACUUGUG
ensembl:lncRNA